rnacentral:lncRNA from 1 species
GUUUGGUGUUGACUGUUUUCUUGCUGACUGUUUUCUUGCUGACUGUUUAUGUUUGAGUGUUUUCUUGCUUGUGUCGGCAGUCGUGGCCAAAGGAGGAUUCAGACAAUUUUCCGAACUUUCUGGUUGGUUUCUACUGUCCGAUAUUGUAGCACGCUAACUUUGUUUGGGCUCCUGAACGACACGGGGGAGCAGCGUCUGCCUCACAACCAAUCAGGUUAGAGGAGGUGGAGAACGGCUUUGUUUACAGUCAGAAAGAGCGGGACUACAUAGUCAUAACAUAACACGGCGAUAUCAUGAUAUUCCCAAAUGUCAUCAAUAACUAAUAACUAUUGAUUGAUAUUAAAAGCGUUUUUGUAUAAACACCACAAAAUAAGGUGCUUCUUAAAUGGAAACUUGCCUACCACACCUUUAAUUGAAUUUAUACCUCCAAUACGAGCUUUUACCGCAGAAAACAGACCUCAGGUUUGUGUCAGACGGAGGAAAAUAAACCUGCAUGUCUGCAAACUGGAAAACUUGUUGAUAUUAAAGAUUCAUGCGUCGCAUUAAACUCAGACUUUAGUGAAACUCUGUCAUUGCUGGUCGAGUUUAUACGACUGAUACGUCACUGCCAGUCUGCACUCGUCUCACUCGCCCUCUUAUCCUCCCUCUCUCUCUCUCUCUCUCUCUCUCUCUCUCUCUCUCUCCCUCUCUCUCUCUCUCUCGUAUCAUUAGCUGAUUACUCAUCCAUCAACAUGAAUUACUGAACAGCAGAAGCCAAAGGAUAAACAUGCAUUUGCUGUGCUCAUCAUUCAGCCUCUUUAACGUAUGUGUGUGUGAGAGUGUGUGAGUCUGAGUGUGUGUUUUGGUUGUAAUUCCACUCAUACAAUAUUCAGGUUGUUGACAUCUCAAGGCUGGCAAUAAAACAAACAAACACACACACACACACACACACACACACACACACACACACACUUGCACAAAGGUAAUUUACUACAUGCUUCAUUAUGUGAUGGAUAACCUCUCCUCUAAAUUAGCAAUAAAAGCCAAGGCAACACAUACACACACACACACACGCGCGCACACACACACGCACACACACACACACACACACACACAGACUUGGCAGAUGGUUUUGAGUGAGAAUCACCAAAGACGUAGACGUGUCUGAGUGUGUGAAGUGUUACGUAACCUGUCACUUCUCUGCAGCUCCACAUUUUGGAGUUAAAUUUCUACAGUUUGUUUGUUGCCAAGAGGAAAUGACACGUUCUCUGUCUUUGUGUAUCAGCCAAUCACAGCGUGCGUUCAUCUUACUAAAGCAUAAUCCUCUGAGAGUCCUGCGGAGCGUCGAAGCGGUGGGAAAUAAACAGCAGCAGCUGUAUAUUGAACGUGUGCAUUAGUGUGUAACCACAGUCCCUGAGGUUAGUGCUCCCUCCUCAUACAUGCACAUUUAAACUCCACCUCAGGUUAGAGCAGAAUAACCUCAGGAACCUCAUAUUGCUAAAUAAACCUCAUACUGACACCAACUCUCAGAUUCUGGUGGAUUUUUGAGUCCAUGAUGGUCCUCAAGGAAAGAGUAAGUUGUCUUGACUGAAACUCAUGAUUCAUACCUGAGCGCUCACCUGAAGUCUGAAUCACACUAACUAUACCAGCUGUCCGUGUCACAAACCAGGAGAGGGGUCUGGCCGCUAGGGUUGCAAAGGGGUGGAAAAUUUCCGGUAAAUUUCCAGAAACCUUCAAUACUCCAAAUUGGAAACAAUCAUAUCCAAUCACACAGCUGAUUAAUUAGCGAGUUAUCGGACAAAUAAAAGCACAAAACUGAUGCUUUAACUCCGAGCUAACUGCUGAAAGUGAAUAAAUUAGAAAUGGGAUGCAGGGCGUAUGAUACAGCGUCCACUGUGGCGUCCACUGCAUGUCUCCGUGAAUGAAAGCGGCGCCAUCUUGGAAAUGUGAAUGAGGAAGCGAGGAAGAACACAGGAGGAGCUGAUUAUAGAUCAUAAUAAAGUAGGUUUUAAGUCGACUCCAUUAGGUGGCGCUUGUUUGCCUCCACCAUUACCUGAAGUAGCCAUCGUCUAUGUCGUCAUGCGACGCAUCGACUAAUUUUUGUAGUCGAUUACGUCCAAUACAUCGACGAAUCGCCCCAGGCCUAUUAUUCAUCGCUUUUAAUUUGAAAGGCUUCGAUCAACUUUGGACAUACAAAAAGAGACAUAUGCCUGGUAUAUUUGCUUUUAUUUUGAAAGGUUUUAAACAACUUCCUGUCGUCUCAGUGGAGGUCUGCAGCUAGACUGUCUUAAAAACCAUGGUGCUUCUGGACACUGCCGACCAUUUUACGAAGGUGAAAUCAGGUCCUUAAGUCCUGAAAAUCUCUGACAUGCCAGAAAUUCAUCCCGCCGGUCGGGAGCAGCUAAUCCGGCGAUGACGGGCUGUCAUGACCGCCUGUAACAUGUACAGUAAACAGAUUACACACAGACUGGCUGCCCGGCCUCCAAACGCCCUUAAAUGAUCCUUUUGGUGUCUACCCUACUUUUCUUUGUCCAUCCGGUUAAGACAGACGUGUUUUCUUUACAUUUCCGUCUGUUUAAAUCAAGUUUUUUGCUCACUACAGCUGCUAAACUGUGACCUCAUGGUAGAUUAUGGUUUUAUAAAAUGAGUUUAACAAACAAAUGCAAACUGAGAACUGCCUGAUCAUUCAUUGCUCUGGUUUAGGUUCACAUACUGAGCUGCAUUUGGAGCUCCACAGCCUCCUCAUACGUCGGUUUGGUGUUCCUGUUUUCAGAGGAUUGGCAGCUGGGCGCUCACAGAUUGCUUGGCCCUGGUGCAGCUUGUAGUGGUGUCAAAAACCGCUCAAACUGCUAUUGACUCCACAUGUAACACAGCAACCUUUGUGGUGCCAAGGACCACACCUGCCAAGAGUGAAGUCAGCGGGACGACAAGGCUGAUGCGAUUAUGGUCGUAGGGCGAAAAAAUAAACGUUUGGCUCGGUCGAAGAGCAGAUUGCAAAAGAUUGGAAAUUUUCUCGAUAAACUGACUUCUUCUUUUUCCCCUCUCGUACAGCUGAUUUUGUACGGCUCUUUAACGUGAGGAUUAACACCUGUGUUUGGCAGUUUUUUGGUGCAAAUGGGAAAACAUUUAAUAACGCAUGUGAAACCUCAACACUUUCAAGCAGAAUCAAGUUGUAGAUAUCUACUUUCUCAGGAAAACAUUGGCUAUCAGAGUACGUCUCUCUCAAAUCAGCGAAAAACUCCUAAACAUGUUCACCUCGAGCCUUGGCGAACAGGAGACACAAUAUUUGUCUCUAUUUUUCAAACUCUAAUAAACUCCAAAUACACCACAGUGAGUGACCAUGCCAAGCGUAUGCACACGAGUAAAAGUCUAAAUGUACAUGUCCCCUGAAUGUGGGAUUAAACUAUCUUGCAGUUAAUUGGUCGUUGGCUUCUUCUAAUUGGACGUAACCAUCAAGAAAACCUUUAAACCUACUGAACACAUGUAAACACAUUUGUAUUUGUUGGGAUGCUACCACUUAGAAAAUCAGCGAAGGUUAACAACAUUUCAUUUACGUUUCAGGAAGAAGAAGAAGAGCAUGAAAAUGUUCGAAAUCGUCCUAUUACUGCCAAACAAAUGAAGUUUCUGAAUGAGCAGGAAGCUUCUAGGCUGGAUCGAAAACCCGCUAAAAGGUUCACAAGAGCGCAAAGACCUCUUUAAACUAGCUGAAGGGUCAGCCUUUAAUCACAGUUAUCCUUGUAAUGAUUUCAGAGAUAUUAACCCUCAGAACUCCCAGAUGUAUUUUGCUGUUUUUGGUCUGUAUGUUUUUUUUUCGAUGUAGUAACUCGACCCUUUCAAGCACAGCAGAUAUACACAGACAACCUCAGCUCUCAGUUUAUGGAGCAAAAACGAUGUUAAAUAAAUGUGACAGUAGAGACAUUUAGAAGAUGAGACAUUUAACCGACGGAAACAACAGCGAAAACAAACACCCCGAAACACAGCGAGUCAAUAACAGGACAAACAAAGCAGAGAAGGUGUUAAAACCAAGCAGCCAAGGUUCACAGGCCCCACACAGCAAAAAGCUAGCUGUUAGCCGCUAAGCUAGCAUCACAACUUGUAAACAAAACACAAUCUCAGCACAGCUAACAGGACAAAGCAGAAGCACACAGGAUUAAAGCUCCUACCUGAUUCUGAAGUCCAGCUGGGUCUGAUCCAUGAGAACUGAGAGGGAUGUCCUGGAGAAGUCAGCUGUUCUUAUAAACAUCCUGCUUCCUGUCAGGUGAGCGGCACACCUGUCCUUCAAAAUAAAAGCCUGAACCCAUCUCCAACAAUCAACUCCACAACACACAGUAUCUGACCUGCUGUCUGACCAGACCGUCAGCGUUGACUGAGCCGCCUUUUCCUCCACCUUACCCUCCACACCACCUCACUGAGCCGCUCAAAUCAACCUGAAUUUAACACCAACAUGUCCUCAUUUUAAAAUAGUUUACUGUUUUUUAAGAAGCUACAAGUACAUUUCUCUGUCUUUAAUUCCUCGCUGUGCAAAAACUUGUUAGAAACUAUGCAGACCUCGGCUCAUUGUCAGGAGCUGCACUCGAAGGUCUCUGAGUGUCUUCAAGCAGUUAAAACUCAAGAUGAGCUUCGUCGGUGGAGACCUUGGAGGGAAAGAGAGCGCCCUUCUUCUCCGGGGAAAACUGAGGAGCUCUCAAAGUGGGAAAUCUGACAAACAGGAACAAAAAGCCUUCAGAUUCGUACAGUGAGCAAAGGAAAGUAAGUGGUUUCUUUUGACUCUUUGAGGAUCUUAGGAAGGGCCAGAAAUCUUGACCCGUUUUCCCCUCAGCGGCAUGUCCACUUUAAGACGUUCCAGUUUGGUUGCUCAUGGAAUAACAGAGAAGCAAGAGAUGGUAUAACUACGGUGCACCAAAAGGAACAAAAACAAUUUCCUUGACUUGAAUUUGUGCCGGUCUGUGAAAUAACUACAAAUCUACAAAGCUCAAGCUGUCGAGGAUCGAACUAACCAUAAAAGAACAAUCUGGAUCCUCCUCAAGUGAACAAACCAACUGUAGGCAAUUUUAAUAAGAAGAAGAAGAAGAAGAAGAAGAAGAAUUUUAUAUAGAACUUUUUAAAAAAAUGAUUUAUUCACAUUUUUUUUAUUCCUCCAGAGUCUCCGGUAUUUACUUUGUUUUCUUGCUUGUGUCGGCAGUCGUGGCCAAAGGAGGAUUCAGACAAUUUUCCGAACUUUCUGGUUGGUUUCUACUGUCCGAUAUUGUAGCACGCUAACUUUGUUUGGGCUCCUGAACGACACGGGGGAGCAGCGUCUGACUCACAACCAAUCAGGUCGGGGAUAUUCCCAAAAUGUCAUCAAUAACUAAUAACUAUUGACUGAUAUUAAAAGAUUUUUUGUAAAUACGCCACAAAAUGAAAUGCUUCUUUAACGGAUUCCUGAGUCUCCACAGCCGAGUCCCUGAGUGUUUCCACCCCCGGAAUUUAAAGAAGAAGAAGAAAAAGAAGCUGUUGUUGUUGUCGUCGUUGUUGGUCAGCAGGAGGGGGUGAAAUCUUUGUCUUAAACGUGGUGUGACGGUCAGCAGAGGAGCUGCCUCUGACAUGUGGACUUCUGUGGUGCAGCUGCUUCUGUCAGACUCUGUUUUCAUGUCCACAUGGAGUCGGGCGAGAAAAGCGAAAU